rnacentral:misc_RNA from 1 species
AAUUUAAAUUGAAUUCUAUAAAUCUAUUCUGAAUAAUUAUUUACUGCAUAUAAAAUAAUUUAUAUUUAAUAUUCAAUUUAUGAAAAAUAGAAUAAAAAAACUACAUGUAAAAAAAAUUAAUAAAAAUAAAUUAGCCCAAUAACCAUCACUCCAUUACCACCAUCAGCCCAUUACCAUUAUAAGCCUUAUUACAUAUUACAGUUUCAAUCAAUAAUAGACCGACACUUCAUUGAGAGCAGCAAAGGCAAUCCAAUACAGCUACAUAACUUCUUCUUCUUUUUUUCUCUUUUCUUCCUCCAAUCAUUCUCUGCAAUUGGUGGGCUAACCUCACUGGGGCGCGCCUACCGGCACCUGAGUGCACCUUUGCUGCUCUAAGGUGCUGCCCUUCGCGCCCAAUGAGCCUUGCGCCUCAGGGGCACCUUUAAUAACACUGUUUUUGCCUUGCAUCUCUAGAUCUUUCAGUCUCUCCUUUUUUUAGCUACAAAUUCAUACCCACCUCGUAUUUUUUGCUUGCCAAGCUCAAAAGACUACCUGCACAGAUCAGUAAGUUCUUUCCUCCCUCUCUUAUCUUUAUCUCUGUUUUUUAGUAUUCAUAUUCAUAUAUGUGUUUGGAUUGACAGGUAGAUGUGAGAUCUUUGUUUGUUCACUUGUUUUUUUAAUUGUUUUGCUAGAAGUUUGCUGUCUAGUAAUGCAGCACAACUGCAUCCAACAAAGAUCCAACAUGCACAUGUCGUUCCACACUUCAACAGAAUCCUAUUAAACUCCUCUAGCAUUGGUUUCACCAGAAAUUGCUAUAGUUCUAUUCAAGUUUGGUGGGCAGGUAAUGUUAUUCUUAUGGAAAAUAUUCUAAUCGGAUGGACUCUACAAUGAAAUUCUAGCUAAACGGAAUAGAAAUAGCAUAUCAGAAAUAGUAUAAUUUACAAGGAGGCUUGUUGGCUUUCUUUUUGUUUUCUACAUAUUUGUGACAUGCUGGUUCAAUUACACUUAGUAUGCCACGUUUUGCCCUUUUGGUUGGAUUUUUUAGUUCAAUUGAUGUUGCAGUUGCUUCGGAUGAACUUUAAAUGUUUCCUAGAAAUUUGAGAGUUUGUUUUUUGGUUCAAGAAGAUGAUUAUCUCAUGCAAUGUUAGCAAAACUAUAUCAUUUUUAUAAAAUUUUAAAUGGUCUUUUUAAUUCCUUUUUCCAACUAAAAAAGAUUUGAUCAAUGGCACUCUAGACUAAGUAAAAAAAAAUUUAAAACUAAUAAUAAUUUAGAGUAGAGCUUAGAGCUUAUCAAUCCAUCAUACUAUACAUGUCUCAUGCUUUGCUUUUUGCAUGCUAAAUUUAGUAACUCUAGGAAAUAUUUAUGUCAAGUUACCCAUCACUUUUGUGAAAACAGUCAACUUUAAUUUAGUCAUUAAAGGAGCUAAACAACACUGAAAUUGGAAACUUAAACUGCGUAUUUAGUUGCUGCUUAUCAAUAAACACUGAAAAGUGCUUCCAUUUGUUAUUUUUUUAAUUUGAAAGGAUAAAACAGUAUUUUUUAUGGGAUUUUGUUGGGAGUUGAUCUGCAUUUAGAUAGGAACUCAAAUGACUGACAU